rnacentral:rRNA from 1 species
GUAGGGUGCGAGCGUUAAUCGGAAUGACUGGGCGUAAAGGGCAUGUAGGCGGAUAAUUAAGUUAGGUGUGAAAGCCCUGGGCUCAACCUAGGAAUUGCACUUAAAACUGGUUAACUAGAGUAUUGUAGAGGAAGGUAGAAUUCCACGUGUAGCGGUGAAAUGCGUAGAGAUGUGGAGGAAUGCCGGUGGCGAAGGCGGCCUUCUGGACAGACACUGACGCUGAGAUGCGAAAGCGUGGGGAGCAAACAGGAUUAGAUACCCUGGUAGUCCACGCUGUAAACGAUGUCGAUUUGGAGUUUGUUGCCUUGAGUGACGGGCUCCGAAGCUAACGCGAUAAAUCGACCGCCUGGGGAGUACGGCCGCAAGGUUA